rnacentral:lncRNA from 1 species
UCAUAUUCUAGUUAUCAAAACACUUCUCUAAGAGUGUAAGAGUUUGAGGGAAAAGAUUUCAAAAUGGAGAGAGUCUCUAAGCUGUUCCUGAUCCUGGCCAUUAUGGUUUUGGUCCUUGCUUCAGAUGUUGAAGGAACUGGAAGAAAACUCAAGGAGGAUAAGAAUGUUGAUCAUCCCCAGAAUUUCAUUGGAGGCAUUGGUGGGACUGGAACAUUUCCAGGACCUGGUUUCACUGGAGUGGGUUUUGGUCCAUCCAUCUUUUGCACUUACCCGGGUGGCUGCACCCAAACUCCAACCCUACCCUUUAUCCCAAGUGCUGGAGGGUCCCCACCACAUGCAUAGAGAGAGGCUAGAAGCGAGUUGAAUUUGAUUCAGAGGGAAAUGAAUAAAAAAAAAAGAUUUUUAAAAUUAUGAGAUAUACUUAUCGUAUAACUCUGAAGUCUUCUAUUUCAUUUUCUUCUUCAAAAUACAAUUUGGAAACGGAUAUUUAAAGUUCAAAGUUGAGAUUAUGAAGUCUUUAGUUGAAUUACCUAGUAAAGUAGAGUGGAACUUAUUAAGCUUUAGUUUGCCUUUCAUUUAUUUUUAUAUGUCUAUGUGUGUGUAUUUAGCUGUUUGUUAAUUCUUGUCUAAGUAUGGGUGUGAUAUCAUGUCUUUUGAGUUGCAGUUUCUACCUGGCUAGUUUUUGCUGUUCUGCAAGUAAUCUUUUUUUCAUGAGUUUAAGUUGGUUGUUUAUGAUUUUU